UGUCUCCUCCACCCUCCUCCUUUGGUGUGGAUUUAACCCGAGUGGCCUCCCCGCCCUCGGGUUUUUCUUU
rnacentral:ncRNA from 1 species